GAUGAACGCUGGCGGCGUGCCUAAUACAUGCAAGUCGAGCGAACAGAUGAGGAGCUUGCUCCUCUGACGUUAGCGGCGGACGGGUGAGUAACACGUGGAUAACCUACCUAUAAGACUGGGAUAACUUCGGGAAACCGGAGCUAAUACCGGAUAAUAUAUUGAACCGCAUGGUUCAAUAGUGAAAGACGGUUUUGCUGUCACUUAUAGAUGGUUCCGCGCCGCAUUAGAUAGUUGGUAAGGUAACGGCUUACCAAGGCAACGAUGCGUAGCCGACCUGAGAGGGUGAUCGGCCACACUGGAACUGAGACACGGUCCAGACUCCUACGGGAGGCAGCAGUAGGGAAUCUUCCGCAAUGGGCGAAAGCCUGACGGAGCAACGCCGAGUGAGUGAUGAAGGUCUUCGGAUCGUAAAACUCUGUUAUUAGGGAAGAACAAAUGUGUAAGUAACUAUGCACGUCUUGACGGUACCUAAUCAGAAAGCCACGGCUAACUACGCG
rnacentral:rRNA from 1 species